UACAGAGGUCUCAAGCGUUGUUCGGAUUCAUUGGGCGUAAAGGGUGCGUAGGCGGCGCGGUAAGUCGGGUGUGAAAUCUCGGGGCUUAACUCCGAAACUGCAUUCGAUACUGCCGUGCUUGAGGACUGGAGAGGAGACUGGAAUUUACGGUGUAGCGGUGAAAUGCGUAGAUAUCGUAAGGAAGACCAGUGGCGAAGGCGGGGUCUCUGGACAGUUCCUGACGCUGAGGCACGAAGGCCAGGGGGGGGCAAACGGGG
rnacentral:rRNA from 1 species